AAUCGGGAGCUAUCAUGCAAGUCGAGGGAGAAACUUAGCUUCGGCUAAGAGGAAACCGGCGAACGGGUGAGUAACGCGUACACAACCUACCCUUAACAGGGGGAUAGCCCUGGGAAACUAGGAUUAAUACCCCAUAAUAUUGAUUGAUUGCAUAUGAAGUCAAUUAAAGCUCCGGCGGUUAAGGAUGGGUGUGCGUCCCAUCAGCUAGUUGGUAGGGUAAUGGCCUACCAAGGCAAAGACGGGUAGGGGGCGUGAGAGCGUGACCCCCCACACUGGUACUGACACACGGACCAGAUACCUACGGGUAGCAGCAGCAAGGAAUAUUGCCCAAUGGACGAAAGUCUGAGGCAGCAACGCCGCGUGGAGGAAGAAGGCUUUCGGGUUGUAAACUCCUUUUCUGGGGGAAGAGAAAGGACGGUACCCCAGGAAUAAGUCUCGGCUAACUACGUGCCAGCAGCCGCGGUAAAACGUAGGAGGCGAGCGUUAUCCGGAUUUACUGGGCGUAAAGCGCGUGCAGGCGGCUUUCUAAGUCGGACGUGAAAGCUCCCGGCUCAACUGGGAGAGGUCGUUCGAAACUAGGAAGCUUGAGGGUGGUAGAGGAGAGUGGAAUUCCCGGUGUAGUGGUGAAAUGCGUAGAUAUCGGGAGGAACACCAGUGGCGAAGGCGGCUCUCUGGGCCACUCCUGACGCUAAGACGCGAAAGCUAGGGGAGAGAACGGGAUUAGAAACCCCGGUAUUCCUAGCCGUAAACGAUGUCAACUAGGUGUAGGGGGUAUCCAACCCCCCUGUGCUGUAGCUAACGCGUUAAGUUGACCGCCUGGGGACUACGGCCGCAAGGCUAAAACUCAAAG
rnacentral:rRNA from 1 species